rnacentral:rRNA from 1 species
AACAAAAACAUGUCCUUUUGGUAUUUAUAUAAGGUCUGACCUGCCCACUGAUUAAUUGAAUGGCCGCAGUAUUUUGACUGUGCAAAGGUAGCAUAAUCAUUAGUUUUUUAAUUAAAAGCUUGUAUGAAGGGUUGGACGAAGUAAAAUCUGUCUCUAUUUAAUUUAUUUUAGAAUUUAAUUUUUAAGUUAAAAAGCUUAAAUUAUUAUAAAAGACGAGAAGACCCUAUAGAUCUUUAUAUUAUUAUAAAUAAUUUUAGUUAAGAUUAUUUUAUUUUUUAUUUAUAUUAAUAUUUUAUUGGGGUAAUAAAAAGAUUAAAAAAAUUCUUUUUAAAAUUUAAUACUAAUUAGUAAUUAUGUGAUCCGAUAUUUUCGAUUAUAAGAUUAAGUUACCUUAGGGAUAACAGCGUAAUUUUUUUUGAGAGUUCAUAUCGAUAAAAAAGUUUGCGACCUCGAUGUUG